GACGAACGCUGGCGGCGUGCUUAACACAUGCAAGUCGAACGAAAAUACCAAGCUUGCUUGGUUGAUUAGUGGCGAACGGGUGAGUAACACGUGAGUAACCUGCCCCUUACUUUCCUGGAUAACUGCUCGAAAGGGUAGCUAAUACGGGAUAUUCUGGCCUUCCUGCAUGGGUUGGUUUGGAAAGGUUGUUUUUCUGGUAAGGGAUGGGCUCGCGGCCUAUCAGCUUGUUGGUGGGGUGAUGGCCUACCAAGGCUUUGACGGGUAGCCGGCCUGAGAGGGUGGACGGUCACACUGGGACUGAGAUACGGCCCAGACUCCUACGGGAGGCAGCAGUGGGGAAUAUUGCACAAUGGGCGCAAGCCUGAUGCAGCGACGCCGCGUGAGGGAUGGAGGCCUUCGGGUUGUAAACCUCUUUCGUCAGGGAACAAGGCAUUGCCUUUUUUGGUGGUGUUGAGGGUACCUGGAUAAGAAGCGCCGGCUAACUACGUGCCAGCAGCCGCGGUAAUACGUAGGGCGCAAGCGUUGUCCGGAAUUAUUGGGCGUAAAGAGCUCGUAGGCGGCUGGUCGCGUCUGUCGUGAAAACUUCCGGCUCAACCGGGGGCUUGCGGUGGGUACGGGCCGGCUAGAGUGCGGUAGGGGUAACUGGAACUCCUGGUGUAGCGGUGGAAUGCGCAGAUAUCAGGAAGAACACCGAUGGCGAAGGCAGGUUACUGGGCCGUUACUGACGCUGAGGAGCGAAAGCGUGGGGAGCGAACAGG
rnacentral:rRNA from 1 species